rnacentral:rRNA from 1 species
GACGUAGGGUGCGAGCGUUGUCCGGAUUUAUUGGGCGUAAAGAGCUCGUAGGCGGCUCGUCGCGUCAGCUGUGAAAACCCGCAGCUUAACUGUGGGCUUGCAGCUGAUACGGGCGGGCUAGAGUUCGGUAGGGGAGACUGGAAUUCCUGGUGUAGCGGUGAAAUGCGCAGAUAUCAGGAGGAACACCGGUGGCGAAGGCGGGUCUCUGGGGCCGAUACUGACGCUGAGGAGCGAAAGCGUGGGGAGCGAACAGG